rnacentral:rRNA from 1 species
UGUGUAGACGGCAUAUUAAGUCAAUUGUUAAAUUCUCCGGCCUAACCGGAGGCCAGCAGUAGAAACUGAUGUGCUAGAGGGUGGAAGGAGAGAAGUGGAAUUCUCGGAGUAGCGGUAAAAUGCGUAGAUCUCGAGAGGAACACCAAUGGCGAAGGCAGCUUCUUGGUCCAUUACUGACGUUGAGACACGAAAGCGUGGGAGCAAACA